UGGGGCUUGAAUUAAUGACCCUGAGAUCAAAACCUGAGGUGAAGAUUUACUGUUUUUCCCUUGAAAAGAUUUUAGAAGUGAGGUAAUAGAUGUUUUUCCAGAGUAUUCAUCACCAGCAUCUGUUCUCAAGCAAGGGGGAAGGGCCUUGCCCGAACUUCUGUCAGUGUGUGUUUCAGAGCUGAGUGCCCAGCCCGCUCUUGACCUGUGAGUGGCCACAGCUUUAGUGUGGGUUUCUGUAGCUAGAGGGGAGGAAAAGAGUAUGAUCUGGAGUUGGCGGGAGUGGGGGCGUUUCCUAGAACUCUUUCUCCUAUUAAAUAAUGCUACUGCAUAUAGGCCUCUUUAAAGGAGAAAUGGUAGGACCUCAUGGAAGUAAUUGUGCUGUGUGGCAGGAGCAGUUCUUCCACAGGUUUAUGCCACUUCGAUCCAAGAACCAGGCAGUGAAUUUUAAUAUAGUAAAACUUACAUGAAA